rnacentral:sRNA from 1 species
GCUGGGUGUGGUGGUGCAUGCCUGUAUUCCCAGCCACUUGGAGGCUGAGGUAGGAGGAUCACAAGUUCAGGAUCAGCCUCAUCAAUUUAGCAAAAUCCUAAGCAAUUUAGGAAAACCCUGUCUCAA